UUUUUUGGGGGGGGGGGGCAACUUGCAAAAUCAUCAGUUUCAUAAAGCAACAGGUUACCAUAACUUCUCUAUUAGAAGCACACUGAAGGAUUUA